UCCGGUUUAUCACCGGCAGUCUCCCUAGAGUUCCCGGCCGAACCGCUGGCAACUAGGGACAAGGGUUGCGCUCGUUGCGGGACUUAACCCAACAUCUCACGACACGAGCUGACGACAGCCAUGCAGCACCUGUCGCCGGGCUCCCGAAGGCACUCCCACCGCUCGGCAGGAUUCCCGGGAUGUCAAGGGCAGGUGGGGAUGACGUUUACGUGCACU
rnacentral:misc_RNA from 1 species